CACGUAGGGCGCAAGCGUUGUCCGGAAUUAUUGGGCGUAAAGAGCUCGUAGGCGGUCUGUUGCGUCUGCUGUGAAAACUCGGGGCUUAACCCCGAGCCUGCAGUGGAUACGGGCAGACUAGAGGUAGGUAGGGGAGAAUGGAAUUCCCGGUGUAGCGGUGAAAUGCGCAGAUAUCGGGAGGAACACCGGCGGCGAAAGCGCGAUACUGGGCCAUAACUGACGCUGAGGAACGAAAGCCAGGGGAGCGAAAGGG
rnacentral:rRNA from 1 species